GACUUCAAAAGAAAUUAUCCUCUUUCAAUUUUUGGGAUCAAGCUGUCAACAUCGUUUACUAGUGUGCCUUCUACUUGGACAGAGAUAAUUUCUUUUGAAGUCAUUUUUUUGUGAAGUGAUUUUUGUAUUUAGCCCCGGCAAGUGCGGGGUUCCACCGUGCAACAAAGCCAUCUGGUGUUGCACAUACACCACUUUUAAGGUUAGCCACACGUGGUGAGUUUCUUCAAGUGCUGCACGACAUCCCUGUUUUUUUUGGUACUGUAUUCAA
rnacentral:sRNA from 1 species